AGACGUGCGCAGGCGGCGUUUGCAAGACAGAUGUGAAAUCCCCGGGCUCAACCUGGGAACUGCAUUUGUGACUGCAAGGCUAGAGUACGGCAGAGGGGGAUGGAAUUCCGCGUGUAGCAGUGAAAUGCGUAGAUAUGCGGAGGAACACCAAUGGCGAAGGCAAUCCCCUGGACCUGUACUGACGCUCAUGCACGAAAGCGUGGGGAGCAAACAGGAUUAGAUACCCCUGU
rnacentral:rRNA from 1 species